rnacentral:rRNA from 1 species
CCGACGGUGAGGGACGAAAGCUGGGGGAGCAAACCGGAUUAGAUACCCGGGUAGUCCCAGCCGUAAACGAUGUGCGUUAGGUGUAUCGGUGACCACGAGUCACCGAGGUGCCGAAGAGAAAUCGUGAAACGUACCGCCUGGGAAGUACGGUCGCAAGGCUGAAACUUAAAGGAAUUGGCGGGGGAGCACCACAACAGGUGGAGCCUGCGGUUUAAUCGGACUCAACGCCGGAAAACUCACCAGAUAAGACAGCUGAAUGAUAGUCGGGCUGAAGACUCUACUUGACUAGCUGAGAGGAGGUGCAUGGCCGUCGUCAGUUCGUACUGUGAAGCAUCCUGUUAAGUCAGGCAACGAGCGAGACCCACGCCAACAGUUGCU